rnacentral:rRNA from 1 species
AAGCGCUGGAAACGGCGUCUAAUACUGGAUAUGUGACGUGACCGCAUGGUCUGCGUUUGGAAAGAUUUUUCGGUUGGGGAUGGGCUCGCGGCCUAUCAGCUUGUUGGUGAGGUAAUGGCUCACCAAGGCGUCGACGGGUAGCCGGCCUGAGAGGGUGACCGGCCACACUGGGACUGAGACACGGCCCAGACUCCUACGGGAGGCAGCAGUGGGGAAUAUUGCACAAUGGGCGCAAGCCUGAUGCAGCAACGCCGCGUGAGGGAUGACGGCCUUCGGGUUGUAAACCUCUUUUAGCAGGGAAGAAGCGAAAGUGACGGUACCUGCAGAAAAAGCGCCGGCUAACUACGUGCCAGCAGCCGCGGUAAUACGUAGGGCGCAAGCGUUAUCCGGAAUUAUUGGCGUAAAGAGCUCGUAGGCGGUUUGUCGCGUCUGCUGUGAAAUCCCGAGGCUCAACCUCGGGCCUGCAGUGGGUACGGGCAGACUAGAGUGCGGUAGGGGAGAUUGGAAUUCCUGGUGUAGCGGUGGAAUGCGCAGAUAUCAGGAGGAACACCGAUGGCGAAGGCAGAUCUCUGGGCCGUAACUGACGCUGAGGAGCGAAAGGGUGGGGAGCAAACAGGCUUAGAUACCCUGGUAGUCCACCCCGUAAACGUUGGGAACUAGUUGUGGGGUCCAUUCCACGGAUUCCGUGACGCAGCUAACGCAUUAAGUUCCCCGCCUGGGGAGUACGGCCGCAAGGCUAAAACUCAAAGGAAUUGACGGGGACCCGCACAAGCGGCGGAGCAUGCGGAUUAAUUCGAUGCAACGCGAAGAACCUUACCAAGGCUUGACAUAUACGAGAACGGGCCAGAAAUGGUCAACUCUUUGGACACUCGUAAACAGGUGGUGCAUGGUUGUCGUCAGCUCGUGUCGUGAGAUGUUGGGUUAAGUCCCGCAACGAGCGCAACCCUCGUUCUAUGUUGCCAGCACGUAAUGGUGGGAACUCAUGGGAUACUGCCGGGGUCAACUCGGAGGAAGGUGGGGAUGACGUCAAAUCAUCAUGCCCCUUAUGUCUUGGGCUUCACGCAUGCUACAAUGGCCGGUACAAAGGGCUGCAAUACCGUGAGGUGGAGCGAAUCCCAAAAAGCCGGUCCCAGUUCGGAUUGAGGU